rnacentral:rRNA from 1 species
AAGAGACAGCAGUAGCCGCGGUAAUACGGAGGGGGCUAGCGUUGUUCGGAAUUACUGGGCGUAAAGCGCACGUAGGCGGCUUGGUAAGUUAGAGGUGAAAGCCUGGAGCUCAACUCCAGAAUUGCCUUUAAGACUGCCGAGCUAGCAGGUGAGAGAGGUAAGUGGAAUUCCGAGUGUAGAGGUGAAAUUCGUAGAUAUUCGGAAGAACACCAGUGGCGAAGGCGGCUUACUGGCUCAUACUGGACGCUGAGGUGCGAAAGCGUGGGGAGCAAACAGGAUUAGAUACCCCUGUAGUCCCUGUCUCUUAUAC